rnacentral:rRNA from 1 species
GGAUCAGGUAGGGAUACCCGCUGAACUUAAGCAUAUCAAUAAGCGGAGGAAAAGAANNAACAGGGAUUGCCUCAGUAACGGCGAGUGAAGCGNNAACAGCUCAAAUUUGAANUCUGGCUCUUUCAGGNUCCGAGUUGUAAUUUGUAGAAGAUGCUUUGGGUGUGGCUCCGGUCUAAGUUCCUUGGAACAGGACGUCAUAGAGGGUGAGAAUCCCGUACGUGACUGGGUGCCUUCGCUCGUGUAAAGCUCUUUCGACGAGUCGAGUUGUUUGGGAAUGCAGCUCAAAAUGGGUGGUAAAUUUCAUCUAAAGCUAAAUAUUGGCCAGAGACCGAUAGCGCACAAGUAGAGUGAUCGAAAGAUGAAAAGCACUUUGGAAAGAGAGUUAAACAGUACGUGAAAUUGUUGAAAGGGAAGCGCUUGCAACCAGACUUGCACGCUGUUGAUCAUCCGAGGUUUUCCCCGGUGUACUCGGCAGCGUUCAGGCCAGCAUCGGCUUUGGUGGGCGGAUAAAGGCCUUGGGAAUGUAGCUCCUUUCGGGGAGUGUUAUAGCCCUCGGUGCAAUGCGNCCUACCGGGACCGAGGACCGCGCUUCGGCUAGGAUGCUGGCGUAAUGGUUGUAAGCGACCCGUCUUGAAACAC